rnacentral:tRNA from 1 species
CGGCCGCGUAGCCGGAGGUCCGGCGGCUGGGCAACUCGUGCCCGGUCACCGCGCGCUCCGGCGCGCCGUGGCCGA